rnacentral:rRNA from 1 species
GUUAAAAAGCUCGUAGUUGGAUGUUCUGCCCGAUGCCGCCGGUCCGCCCCAUGGGUGUGUAUCUGGCGCGCUUUUGGCCUUUUCAUGGAGAACGUAUCUGCACUUUAUUGUGUGGUGCGGGAUCCUUGACUUUUACUUUGAGGAAACAGGAGUGUUCCAAGCAGGCUCUCGUCUUGCACAGCUCAGCAUGGAAUAAUAGCAUUGGACCUCGAUUCUAAGCUGUUGGUUGCCAGAAGCAAGGUAAUGAUGAAGAGGGAUAGUUGGGGGCAUUCGUAUUUAACUGUCAAAGGUGAAAUUCUGGAAUUUUUUAAAAACAGACUACUGCAAAAGCUUCUGCCAUGGAUGUUUUCUUUGAUCAAAAACAAAAGUUAGGGGAUCAAAAACAAUCAAAAACCGUCCUAAUCUUAACUAUAAACCUUGCCGGCUAGAAAUCGGAGGUUGUUUUUUUUGUGACUCCCUCCCCAUCUUGAAAAAAAACAAAGCCUUUGGGUUCCGGGGGGAGGUUGGUCGGCAGGCUCAAAAUUAAAGGAAUUGACGGGAAGGCCCCACCAGGAAUGGAGCCUGCGGCUUUAUUUGACCCCACACGGGGAAACUUCCCCCGUCCAUACUGGGUAAGGAUGUACAGAUUGACCUCUCUUUACUUAUUCUCAGGGGGGGGGGUGGCUGGCCGUUCUUAGUUGGGGGAGUGAUUUGGUUGGUUUAUUUCGU